GAUGAACGCUGGCGGCGUGCCUAAUACAUGCAAGUCGAGCGAACAGACGAGGAUUUUGCUCCUCUGACGUGAGCGGCGGGCGGGUGAGUAACACGAGUAUAACCUACCUAUAAGACUGGGAUCACUUCGGGAAAGCGGAUCUAACACGGGAUAAUAUAUUGAACCGCAGGGUUCAUUGGUGAAAGACGGCUGUGCUGUCACUACUAGAUGGUUCCGAGCUGGAUUAGCUAGUUGGUACGGUAACGGCUUACCAAGGCUACGAUGCGUAGCCGACCUGAGAGGGUGAUCGGCCACACUGGAACUGAGACACGGUCCAGACUCCUACGGGAGGCAGCAGUAGGGAAUCUUCCGCAAUGGGCGAAAGCCUGACGGAGCGACGCCGCGUGAGUGAUGAAGGUCUUCGGAUCGUAAAGCUCUGUUAUUAGGGAAGAACAAAUGUGUAAGUAACUGUGGCCGUCUUGACGGUACCUAAUCAAAAAGCCCCGGCUAACUACGUG
rnacentral:rRNA from 1 species